UGCAUCAGUAAAGAUCACACUGUUACAAAAGCCUGCAUUUUCAGCAGUACACAACUGCAACUCUACAUAAAUGCCACAGAUGCAGAAUACUGUUUUCUUGCUCUAUUUACACAGCUGAUAUACCUAUUCUAACGAAGGAGGGAGAGGAGUAAUGCACAAGAAACUCAGGCCAAUGGGGGAGCAAGAAGAAAACGAAGAAGUGCAGUGCAUGCGUCAUCGGUGUUUAACAGUCAGAAGCGAAACAGUUCAGAACAAGGCCUGCCCUGUCAAAAGAAGAGCUAAAGACAGUUAUAUAAAAAUUAAGGUGGGCUUUCAGACUGGCUAACACAACAACAUUCCAUGAGUAGAUGAAUAACUCAAUCUCAGUGUGACUACUGAUCCGCCGCCACGUGGCUUCC
rnacentral:lncRNA from 1 species